UACAGGGGGUGCAAACGUUGCUCGGAAUCAUUGGGCGUAAAGCGCACGUAGGCGGUCUGUUAUGUCGGAUGUGAAAGCCCUUGGCUUAACUGAGGAAGUGCAUCCGAAACUGGCAGGCUAGAGUACUAAAGAGGGUCGCGGAAUUCCCGGUGUAGAGGUGAAAUUCGUAGAUAUUCGGAGGAACACCAGUGGCGAAGGCGGCUCACUGGUCCGGUACUGACGCUGAGGUGCGAAAGCGUGGGGAGCAAACAGG
rnacentral:rRNA from 1 species